rfam:Populus trichocarpa scaffold_7_contig_13, whole genome shotgun sequence.
AUGGAAGUAAUGAUUAUUUCCCCAAAUGAUCAAUGCUGAAUAAACUGUGUGAUCUUUCUCUUUUCAGAGAAUCCAAGCCAUGAAUCUGAUCCAU